AGAGAUUUGUGAAUCUCUGCGUGGACUUGGGCCGAAGACGUGUUUUCAGCUGAGAAAAUGACAAGGAACUUAAUGAUGGGAUACCUUUGGAAUGCUCCACCUGGUCUUCAAAGGUGACCGAACUCCGCCUCUUCCCGGAUGGAUUCCCGUUUUGUGAGGGGAAGGAGGAGCCGUCUGUGCAGGAGUUCUCCAGUAGCAUCACAUCGGUGCCUGCAGGUAAAGCAAAGAGGGCGGCUCCCUGUGAUCCUUUUUAUCUCCCAGUCGGAAAACGACAAAACAAGAAGCGCGUGAUCUUGCUCAUCCUGAAUGCCGGCUCUCCAGCCGAAACAUGAGCUGUUAAACAGGAAUGUAUGAGGAACCACGACUAACCUGAAGCCACAGUUAUCUUACAGUUAUAGAAAUUGGGUUUACUUCAAGCUAGGUAGAGAAAUUUGUAAAAAAAGAAUGUUAGUGAAUUUGCAGGAUUUGAAAUAAGAAAUUGGAAUAUGAAGUAGAAGGAACUCUAUAAGCUAAGCAUUUUAAUUUAUUUAACAAUAAUAUAACACAGAGGCUUAGCAUAGACUUUUUUGGUCAGCCUGUCACGAUAAGCAAUAAACCAAUUAAUUGCAUGAUAAAUUAAACCAAGCUCAAUAAUCUCAGUUUGCAUCAGUGUUUCUCUUUCUACCAAAGCCUGGAUGACAAACGUCUUCAUUCUGCUGCAUUGAUCUCAUCUAACUCCUCUAUCGAAGGACAAUUUUGUUCACAGGGACUCUAGUAUGCAUUUUAUUUACUGUUUUGGUUGUUUUGCUUUUUUAUCUUCAAUAUUUAAAAUGUCCUCCAGUUCCGAUGUUACACGUUUAGAGGAAAUUAAAGUUCAUGGAUCUUUGACAGAUUUUAUUUGCAUUUUAUGCCAUUACUAAUUAUAUUACUUUAAAUAUUGUUGCUAUUGUUCAUCACAAUAACUCCUGGGACAAUUUAUCAUCCAGAAAGAUUUGACCUAGAGACAGGCCUAUUUCUUGGUUUAAGUCACAUAUCUUUAUCUUUGUUAAAAAUGAAGAGGAACAUUAGUUUUUUUGUUUUCCAUAACAAAAACUACCAUACUGACAGACUUAAUAAAAUUAUAGUAUAGCAGAACCUUUUCUGUUUCUUGUCAAAAACAAAAAGUUUUUACAUUUUCAGCUGAGAAAAUGACAAGUAAACUCUGUUUGUUCAGUAAAGUUUGUGGGGAGAAAUUUUGGUUUGAUUGUGAUAGUUUUAUGCUCCUGACUCACUGGAGACAGUUUGGAGUUACAACAUGACUGUGUGCACCACAACAUGGAUAAGAGAGAUUGAUGUGAACAUAAUCCCAUCAAGAAUGAUGUGAUGAAAUUAUGUCAACCUUCAGGAUGAAAGCCAACGUGUGUUUCUUGUGUGUGUGUGUGUGUGUGUGUGUGUGUGUGUGUGUGUGUUCCCUGCCUGAGUCCUGAGUGAAGCUGAAGCCGGUGUCUCCUGUGCUGCUUCCUUGGACCAGCAGGUGUCCUCCUCCGGCCAGCAUUGCAGUCAGUUCUCCCUGCCAGCUGAACUGAACAGCAGAGAUUCACUGACACCAAUGUUGGGCCGUGUGAAUGCAACCAAGUUUGGACAAAGUUGAACCUCAGUGAAAACAGGACGGAGUUCGUCUAACCGCAACUCCAGGCUGAUCCGGUACCGACCUGUCGAUGGCGAUCGCUCCGAGGGUCAGCAUGCUAGCCGAGCUGAUGAGCAGGUAGAGCAGCGCGGUGAAG